rnacentral:lncRNA from 1 species
GCCCCAUGUCACCUAACCCAUGUAGCGGCCCCAACAUUGAUUUUACGGCAUUAAGAAAGGGGGGGGGGGGGCAUUAUCCUUCAUUUCAUUGUCUCCUUCAUGAGCGCCAACGGUAGAAAUUGUGGGUCCCUCUUUUUUUACCGUUGAACAAUGGUCAAACUAAAAAAACUUGGAUUUUUAUUUUAAAACUCUUCGAUACUCAUUUAAACCACAACUCAUUCCAAAACUUCACACAACUCACUCUAAAUUCUUCUUCUCCCAAUAUUUUGGAUUCAUCAAUUUUCAAAUAGCGAGACGUUGGACCAAGGACAUCUCUUUGGCUACGGGUGGGUGCAUGUCUGACGGGCAGCCUCAAGGUUCGUUCUCGUUUUGGAACACGGUUUUGACACAGUUUUGUCAACAAAAAGGUGAAAACCAUCGUAUGUUCGUCAAGUAACUGCAAGGUUUGUGGUUAUCCGAACAAAGUGUGUAAGUUUUGAGAGGCUCUUUAACAAUGCGUUGAAUGGCGAAGAGGGUUUAACUGAAGACGAAACGAUUGACGCGACCCGUGGUGCGUUUUUACGUCUUCACAACACUAGUUUUGGUCAGUUUCGGCUUGGAGAAUUUUCAGAGGUCGUGAUCAGUGGUGUGUUUCGGCUUGGAGAUUCAGAGGUCGUGAUCAGUGGUGCGUUUCGGCUUGGUCAGUACCUUUUAAGUUUUAUCUUAAUUAUUUUUUCUUAGUUAUGUAAUUUUAUUUUAGACAAAUGUUUCCAAAUUCAAAGUAGCAUCUAAAUUAAAACAAAAUUAAUC